rnacentral:snoRNA from 1 species
CCCCUCUUGGGGUCACACCUGGAGAGUUUCCGGUAAUCUAUCAGUCUCGGCUAUGGGAGGGAGAGUCAAGCAGAGGUCUAUCCAUUCCAUUCCUAGCUUGGCCAGUGGCUAGCGGGUGGAAGGCCAUCUGCUACAAGU